rnacentral:rRNA from 1 species
UACAGAGGUCUCAAGCGUUGUUCGGAUUCAUUGGGCGUAAAGGGUGCGUAGGCGGCGCGGUAAGUCGGGUGUGAAAUUUCGGAGCUUAACUCCGAAACUGCAUUCGAUACUGCCGUGCUUGAGGACUGGAGAGGAGACUGGAAUUUACGGUGUAGCAGUGAAAUGCGUAGAUAUCGUGAGGAAGACCAGUGGCGAAGGCGGGUCUCUGGACAGUUCCUGACGCUGAGGCGCGAAGGCCAGGGGAGCAAACGGG